ensembl:lncRNA
GUCACUUAAGAGUCAGAAGGUGUCCAAAUAAUGCAUAUCCCUUACUAAAAUGCUAUGCUGUUUGUCAGUGUUUGUUUACUUGUUGUCUAUUGUGAUGUCAUCCUAUGGAAUCUGAAGAGAAACAUCUGAGAUGCUUGAACUCAAUUAAGGCUCCAGAGAAUUGCAUCAUGUACAGUCUAUUUCUAUUUUUGUGCAUGAGACAGACAUGAACUAAUUCAUCAGCCUUGCUUGUGCUUUCUUGUACAAAUGUGUUUUAUUGUAAUAGUCCCUAUAAACACUUUUGUUAUCCCCUCUGGUGACACCACAAUACAAAAAGUCGCUCCGAACCCCGACCGGCACAUUUAGCAUCUGUGCUAACACUAAGUGAAAGAGUAGAUUCAACUGUUCCAGGCCCAGGGGAUGACCAUUUUGUUUCUUCCCACAGAUCUUAGUGUCCUGGUGGACAGUGUUGUGUGAUGGAGGACUCUGACCUGACGCCGACACUCCUGACCUCAAAGUGUGCAGUCUGAGGGCAGUCUGUGAAACCCCAGUGCAUGUUUGCAUUCCUGAAACGGUAACUGUCUUACGUCUUUCAAGCCAAUUUACUCAUUCUUUUUUUUCUUGCCAUCUCAUUGUGGUCACAAUGUUGGACAUGUAGGUCUCGAUCUUAGUUUAGUAUGUCUGUUCCUUGCUUUCCCUUUCAUUCUUCGUCAUAUUUCUGUUGGAGCUUUGCCCCACCCUGUUCCUUCAGAAAACCUUGUUGAUUUAGCUUGGAGAAUGAUGAUGGAUAAACUUAUCCAAACCUCAGAAGGGUGUGUGUAACACUCAGGAAGCCAAGAGCACUCGUUUACGCACACACACACACAAGCACCUUCAUCUCCAGCGGCCUAGACAUCAUUCACAAAUAAUAACGACAUGGCAAUGUGUCAUUUCUUGACAAGCAGAUGUUGCUUUGAGAAGGCAUGUGUUCUCUUGUCUGCAGGUCUGUAGCAGACGGUGAAGGCUGGAUGAAGAAUGGGAAUGUUGCUUUAAGGUUUGUGGGUUCGGAGGUUAUCGCACAAGCUGCCUACACAGGCUCUCCAACAGUCCAUAUUGAGGAUGAAUCCAUGCAGGACUAGAGCCAAGGUACAAUCUUCUUUCUGGCCCUGUACUACAUACUUCCUGCAUGGAGCUCACAGUGACCAAAAUAAGACCCAACAACAAUUGUUGGCCCCAGUGGUGCCUGAGUCCAGAUGAGGGUUUGAUUUGCUACGCAUGGUCGGGUUCUGGACACGUGCAUUCGGGGAAGGUCUCGCA